AUUGCUUCUUAACCACUUGGCAAAGAUCAAAUGUAGCGUACUUUUUUAGCACUUUGGGUGUCUGUUACAUCCUCAAUUUGAGUAUUUUAUAUUAAAUGAAUUUAGGGGGCUGGGAGAUUUACUAGGAGCUUGCACCAUCCUCUCCAUGUGUGAAGCUAUUGCUGUGUUUCCAGAAUGGUGGGGGGAAAAAAAAACAGUCCAAAUCCCCA
ensembl:snRNA U2 U2 spliceosomal RNA